AAGCUCGUAGUUGAAUUUCGGGGUUCUACCGUCGGUCGGGCUACCAAGUCUGUACUGGUGUGUAGAAUUUCUACCUUCUGGAGAACCAUCAUGUUAUUAAUUUAGCGUGGUGGGAAACCAGGACCUUUACCUUGAAAAAAUUAGAGUGUUCAAAGCAGGCUUAUGUCUGAAUCCAUUAGCAUGGAAUAAUAGAAUAGGACGGUGGUCCUGUUUUGUUGGUUUCUGAAUCACCGUAAUGAUUAAUAGGGAUAGUUGGG
rnacentral:rRNA from 1 species